rnacentral:rRNA from 1 species
CCUACGGGUGGCAGCAGUGAGGAAUAUUGGUCAAUGGGCGCGAGCCUGAACCAGCCAAGUAGCGUGAAGGAUGACUGCCCUGCGGGUUGUAAACUUCUUUUAUCAAGGAAUAAAGUGAGGCACGUGUGCCUUUUUGUGUGUACUUUAUGAAUAAGGAUCGGCUAACUCCGUGCCAGCAGCCGCGGUAAUACGGAGGAUCCGAGCGUUAUCCGGAUUUAUUGGGUUUAAAGGGAGCGUAGAUGGGGUGUUAAGUCAGGUGUGAAAGUUUGCGGCUCAACCGUAAAAGUGCAAUUGAGACUGGCAGUCUUGAGUACAGGUGAGGUAGGCGGAAUUCGUGGUGUAGCGGUGAAAUGCUUAGAUAUCACGCAGAACUCCGAUUGCGAAGGCAGCGUACUAAACUGCCACUGACACUGAUGCUCGAAAGCGUGGGUAUCAAACAGGAUUAGAUACCCCGGUAGUC